rnacentral:rRNA from 1 species
GACGAACGCUGGCGGCGUGCUUAACACAUGCAAGUCGAACGGAAAGGCCCUGCUUUUGUGGGGUGCUCGAGUGGCGAACGGGUGAGUAACACGUGAGUAACCUGCCCUUGACUUUGGGAUAACUUCAGGAAACUGGGGCUAAUACCGGAUAGGAGCUCCUGCUGCAUGGUGGGGGUUGGAAAGUUUCGGCGGUUGGGGAUGGACUCGCGGCUUAUCAGCUUGUUGGUGGGGUAGUGGCUUACCAAGGCUUUGACGGGUAGCCGGCCUGGGAGGGUGACCGGCCCCAUUGGGACUGAGCUACGGCCCAGACUCCUACGGGAGGCAGCAGUGGGGAAUAUUGCACAAUGGGCGGAAGCCUGAUGCAGCAACGCCGCGUGCGGGAUGACGGCCUUCGGGUUGUAACCCGCUUUCGCCUGUGACGAAGCGUGAGUGACGGUAAUGGGUAAAGAAGCACCGGCUAACUACGUG